rnacentral:tRNA from 1 species
GCCUGGGCAGCUCAGUUGGUUAAGCACCUGACUUCGGUUCAGGUCAUGAUCUUGCGGUUCGUGGGUUCAAGCCCCACAUUGGGCU